rnacentral:lncRNA from 1 species
GCGUGUGUGGCUACUGAGGUUGGACGCGAGGAAUUCAUUCUUAGCAUUUCGUCGAGCAAACCGAGUGCAUCAGAUAAGGGGUUAUAACCCAGACAAUAACAGACAUAGGAGAAGGAACUAAGAUCUGGUUCAAAGACCAUUCUGAUAUUCAAAAUUUGUUAUCCCAUGUGACUACCGAAUUGCAGGCUGAUAUGCAUUCAGGUAUGCACUUCCGGGCCUUGUUCGGUUACACCUGAGUUGGGAGGGAUUUGGUUCAGAUCCCUGCCAGUACCUCCUGAUCCAUGUCAAUCCACAAGCCCUCUGUAGACCAAUUUGUGUGCAUUCUAUGAAUUUGAAUAGUGGGAGGAUGGAUGUCACGUCUGGUUCAACAGCAGGCCAAAGCUUGUUCUCAGUGACCCACACAUUACUCUUUUGUAAUCUCUUCAUGUGUGUUGCAACAUCGAGCUUCAAAAGCAGAAGUAACAUUUAUUCUCAAUAUCUUCCUGUCAAACCUGCCUGUGCAUUUUUCGGCAUCAUUUUAUCAAACAGAAUGGGUGCAAAUCUUGAAAGUAGUUUGACUUUUUCUUGUAUUAUGGACGGGAACAAGGCCCAUGACAGAGUGGGUCAGACUUUUGGAUGAUCUGUUUUCGGGAAGGUUUGGCAACCUAGCAAAAAAUAAAUAAAUCAUAAGUCAGUAUUCCAAGUCUCCUACAGAUUGUACGCUAAUGUAUGUGAUAUUGCUUGUUUCCUUUUGGCUAUAUAUUCAGGUCACUUCUGUCCCUUGGAAGGAGAAUGAGCUCAACAUGGUCGAUACACCUGGCCAUGCUGAUUUUGGUGGUGAAGUAAGCACUUUUGGUAUAAUUUUGUACAUAUUAGACUCAAAUGGCGUUUUUUGUGUGAUAUUUGAGAUGUUUACCGCUUUUUUAUAGGUCGAGCGAGUUGUUGGAAUGGUUGAAGGAGCGGUGUUGGUUGUUGAUGCUGGGGAGGGACCUUUAGC